rnacentral:rRNA from 1 species
UACGUAGGGGGCAAGCGUUGUCCGGAAUCAUUGGGCGUAAAGCGCGUGUAGGCGGCUCGGUAAGUCUGCUGUGAAAGUCCAGGGCUCAACCCUGGGAUGCCGGUGGAUACUGUCGAGCUCGAGUCCGGAAGAGGCGAGUGGAAUUCCUGGUGUAGCGGUGAAAUGCGCAGAUAUCAGGAGGAACACCAAUGGCGAAGGCAGCUCGCUGGGACGGUACUGACGCUGGAGACGCGAAAGCGUGGGGAGCAAACAGG